UCUUCCGAUCUAGAGCAUACGGAGGAUGCCUAGGUACAUGGCGCCGAGGAAGGACGUGACAAGCUGCGAAAAGCUGCGGGGAGCUGCAAAUGAGCCGAGAUCCGCAGAUAUCCGAAUGAGGGAACUCACUGCAAGUAAUGUUGCAGUAUCAUUGCGUGAACACAUAGCGCAAUGAGGGGAACCCGGGGAACUGAAACAUCUUAGUACCCGGAGGAAAAGAAAGUAAGAACGAUUCCGAAAGUAGUGGCGAGCGAAAUCGGAGUAGCCCAAACCGCAUGUAGCAAUACGUGCGGGGUAUGGACCUUCAAAACGCACCGAGAACGAUAGCCAAAGACGGUUGGAAAGCCGGACCGAAGAGGGUAACAGUCCCGUAGGCGAAAUUGUUCGGAGGCAAGAAGGUAUCCGGAGUACGCCGGAACACGAGGAAUUCCGGCGGAAGACAGGAGGACCAUCUCCUAAGGCUAAAUACGACCAUGUGACCGAUAGCGAAUAGUACCGUGAGGGAAAGGUGAAAAGCACCCCGGGAGGGGAGUGAAAGAGAACCUGAAACCGUGUGCUUACAAGCAGACAGAGUGCCACACGCGCAUGAUGUCGUACUUUUUGUAGAACGGGCCGGCGAGUUACGUUGUGUUGCGAGGUUAAGUGAUACAGUCACGGAGCCGAAGCGAAAGCGAGUCUGAAGAGGGCGGAAAGUAGCAUGACGUAGACCCGAAACCUGAUGAUCUAUCCAUGAGCAGGCUGAAGCAGAGGUAAAGCUUUGUGGAGGGCCGAACCCACGCCUGUUGAAAUAGUCGGGGAUGACUUGUGGAUAGCGGAGAAAUUCCAAACGAAUCGGGAUAUAGCUGGUUCUCCUCGAAAUAGCUUUAGGGCUAGCCUCGUAAGAGAAUACCGCAGGUAGAGCACUAAAUGGCCUAGGGGGCUUCACGGCUUACCGAAGCUUAUUAAACUCCGAAUGGCGGAUAUUUGAUUUACGGGAGUCAGACUGCGACAGACAAGUGCCGUAGUCAAAAGGGAAACAGCCCAGAUCCACAGCUAAGGUCCCAAAGUACAGGUUAAGUGGUAAAGGAUGUGACAUUGCAGAAACAACCAGGAUGUUGGCUUAGAAGCAGCCACACAUUAAAAGAGUGCGUAAUAGCUCACUGGUCGAGUGAUGGUGCGCCGAAGAUUACCGGGGCUCAAACCUGACACCGAAGCUUGGGGAUUGGAGUAAUCCAAUCGGUAGAGGAGCAAUGCGUACGGGCAGAAGCUGUAUCGGAAGAGGCAGUGGACUGUACGGAAGAGAGAAUGCCGGCAUAAGUAGCGAGAGGGAGGCGAGAAACCUCCCCGUCGAAAGUCUGAGGUUUCCUGGGGAAGGUUCGUCCGCCCAGGGUAAGUCGGGACCUAAGCCGAGGCCGAAAGGCGUAGGUGAUGGACAACGGGUUGAGAAUCCCGUACCGCCGACACACGAUGUAUGAGGCAGUGACACAGAGGGAUAGUCGAAGCGCGCGGAUGGAAAAGCGCGUCCAAGGCGAAGCGUUGGCAGGCAGUGAAGUACGCCUGUCGCAAAGCGUAGCGCUGACGGGGAGCGGACUAGGGAAGCGAAGUCGAUGAAUCCGCACUGGCGAGAAAAGCUGCUAAAUAGUGUGAAGGUGCCCGUACCGCAAACCGACACAGGUAGACGAGAAGAAAAUUCUAAGACGAACGGGAGAACCCUUGUUAAGGAACUCGGCAAAAUGACCCCGUAACUUCGGGAGAAGGGGAGCCACAGCGAUGUGGCCGCAGUGAAGAGGCCCAAGCGACUGUUUAUCAAAAACACAGGUUUCUGCGAAAGCGCAAGCUGACGUAUAGGAGCUGACUCCUGCCCAGUGCCGGAAGGUCAAGGGGACUUGUUAGCGCAAGCGAAGCAACGAACUCAAGCCCCGGUGAACGGCGGCCGUAACAAUAACGGUCCUAAGGUAGCGAAAUUCCUUGUCGGGUAAGUUCCGACCCGCACGAA
rnacentral:rRNA from 1 species